rnacentral:rRNA from 1 species
GGUAAGGACCGGGCGACUCUGGAUGGACUGCCGGCGGACAAGCCGGAGGAAGUGGGGAUGACGUCAAGUCAUCAUGGCCCUUAUGUCCAGGGCGACACACGUGCUACAAUGGCCGGCACAGCGGGAAGCGAGGGGGCGACCUUGAGCGGAUCCCUCAAAGCCGGUCUCAGUUCGGAUUGCAGUCUGCAACUCGACUGCAUGAAGUUGGAAUCGCUAGUAAUCGUGGAUCAGCCAAGCCGCGGUGAAUACGUUCCCGGGCCUU